rnacentral:misc_RNA from 1 species
CAACAGUCUAAUUCCCUAUCUCUCGUCGGACAAAGUAUCUCUGUAAAGAAUCCGCGCCGUAUCAUAGACGCUUGAUUAAUGAACGAGAAGCUUUUCACAGAGCUGGAGGACUCCACGAAGCUCCAGACUCUACACUCGAUCCUCCAACACCUGGCUGGUGUGCAUUAUCUCCGGCCCCAUCUCUCUGGCUAUCAAAUCGAAGCUGGAACUUUUCGCCGUCAAGUACAGUGGUCUUGCUACGAAGAUUACGCCGAUCACAUCAAUCGAAUGGCCAACGGAAAACUCGAUCACUGUCAGCCUGUACUCUCCGUUGAUCCUCUCGUUUGUUUCUUCUACAGGUGAAAACGUUGCUUCUACUUCUUUGACCCUCCAAGUGUUAUCUCAAUGGAAAAUUUUAUGAUUUCUUUCGUUUGAAAAAAAAAAUGUAGCUCUGGAACUAUUAAAAUGAAGCCCAAAUUGAUCCUUACUUCGAUUCAGCUAUGUCAAAAGCUGCUUCCUACAUAGCGCACAAUGGCAGUAACGCAAUUUUUUGUAGGCCUGAAGUGAAUAAUAUCCUUUGGUUUCUAUAUGCCGAUGAUUAGAUGACUACAACUGGCGGGUUAAAUGCUAUGGCUGCCUCUACGUGCCCUUUGCUGAAAAUGAGUAAAGCGAAGUGGUAUGAAGCUUUCUCCUCCACUAGUACUCUGGAGGUUGUUUCUGGUGCAGAUGUUAAGAGCCAAAUGCAUUGCCAUCUUCUCUGUGCACAAGGAAAUUCUGAUUUAAUAGUUAGGAUUGGUGAUCGUGCCCCUUAUGUUAUAAGCUUAAUUAGAGCAUUAGUCUGGUUGAGUCCAAGUGGAAGCAAUUAUGUGAUGAUCUUGAAAAUAGGUUUCCUAGAAGGCAGAUUACUGAUCCUGCAAUGAGAGAAUCUGUUGCUAAUGUUCUCGGUGGGCCUCAAGCCCUCAACCUGAUUUAUCAAAGAGAAUUCAAUCCAUUCUUGAGGAAAAGAAUUGGGAUGGAAUUGUAUUUAAAUUGUGGUCUAAUGAUCGUUAUGCCAAGUGUGUGACGACUGGAAGCAUGACCAGUAUUAUUCCAAACUCAAGUACUAUGCAGGAGAGUAAUGAUUUUAGGUGGAGAUUAGUUUGCGUCUGAAUGUUCCUUUGGUUGUUAACUUAGAUAUUAAACAACCUCCAGAGACAACCCGCUUUGUUAUGCUUCCAACUGCAGCCUAUUUUGAGUUUCUACCGUUUGAUUUGAACAAUGGCAGUGUUGUUAGAAAAUAAACUGAAUUUUUCGGGAGUUGAAGUAGGGAAGACCUAUGAGGUGGUUGUCACUGCUCAAUAGAGGAUUUAAUCAUUACCGCUUGGGCGAUAUUGUGAGAGUAUUUGGUUUUCAUAAUUCAUCUCUAGAAGUGGAGUUCGUGAUGAGAGCUCCUAACAAUGCCUACGAGGUAAUAACAUAGGGAUUUGAUGUCUGCUGUGGAGAGUUUUCAGCUUGGUAUGAGAAAUGCUGUGGCAGCAGAGAUUAUGUUUAAGACGGAUGUGUGCUUCUGCUGGCGGAGAAAUUGCAAGAUCAGUUGAAUUCUUAAAGGUUGUUGUUCCCUGAGAAUUGGGAGGCAUAUACAAGGUGCAGAGGGAUAGGGGUGAAAUAGGCCCUCUGUUAGUAUAUAAAGCAUGAUAGCUUUGAUAGGAUAUUGCAAAUGGCAGUGGAGAAUGGGGCAUCAGCUAGUCAAUAUAAACCACCGAAGAUUAUUAGAAACAACGAAGUUGUUGGUGUUAUGGAAUCAUCUGCUUUUGUGACAGUAUGUUUGGACUCAUUGGAUUGAUUUGACCCUAACUAAUGAACCAAAGAGGUUUGCAAAACCUAUAUGCCCUUCAAGCUUUCUUCUGGUGAUGGAACGAACGAUGCUUGUUACAUCUAUACCAACAAAAGCUGCGUGAUCAAACUUAUUUCAAACUAGAGAAUAAUACUAAAGUGAAACUAUCAAUUGUUUGAUGUUAAUGCAGUGUUAUAUGCACAUAAUUUCUUUACGGGAAACCAGUUGUUGUCCAUUAUAUCUCCAAUUAUAGAUAUUACCGGGCCACUAGGCCAG